AUACGUAGGGGGCGAGCGUUGUCCGGAAUGAUUGGGCGUAAAGGGCGCGUAGGCGGCCCGGUAAGUCUGGAGUGAAAGUCCUGUUUUUAAGAUGGGAAUUGCUUUGGAUACUGUCGGGCUUGAGUGCAGGAGAGGUAAGUGGAAUUCCCAGUGUAGCGGUGAAAUGCGUGGAGAUUGGGAGGAACACCAGUGGCGAAGGCGACUUACUGGACUGUAACUGACGCUGAGUCGCGAAAGUGUGGGGAGCAAACAGGAUUAGAUACCCUGGUAGUCCACACUGUAAACGAUGAAUGCUAGGUGUAGGGGGUAUCGACCCCUUCUGUGCCGCAGUCAACACAAUAAGCAUUCCGCCUGGGGAGUACGGCCGCAAGGUUGAAACUCAAAUGAAUUGGCGGG
rnacentral:rRNA from 1 species